ACUUUUCCAUUAACAUACUCUCUCUCUCUCUCUGUCUCUCUCUUAACUUUUUCAUUGAAGAUAUAGAUGUAUCAGUCUUUCCAGGUCAAAUUGCCUAUGAAUUUCUAGCCUAUCCAGCAACAGUUACAGAAGACUGUGGAGAUCAGCCCAGUGUGCCGCUAUAAAAUUUAAGUUUUCAUCUCUUGCAAGUGUCCAUCUGAUAUUCUUGUCACCAUCUGUUGCUUCAUUCUAUAGGCAAACAGAAACUUAAAAUGAAAAAGAGAAAUGAGGGAAAAGUUACUGAUCUUAUUGUGUUUGAAUUUAACAAGGGCUGUCUACAAACCUGUGGCAUGCCACAUUGUCUGUAGGUCACAUGAGUGGCUUGUAAAAUGAAGAGAAACUCUUAGAAGAAAAAGAAAACUUAAAAUUUGACUGUUU